rnacentral:sRNA from 1 species
GGUCAUGGGCGGUAUGGACCGCAUGGUA